GCUGUGAGGCGACUGCGGGCAGGUAAGA
rnacentral:piRNA from 1 species